UCAGCUUUGAGUAGCCGUGGCCGCCGCAGGCUCGGCGGCACAGCUCGGAACCCUGGAAGCACAAGUCUGACGUCAUGGCCUUGAUGCCUGCGCUCAGGGCGUGAAGCUGCAAGAACAGGGGAUCGCGGUGAGGACACUGAGAGACAAAGAAGUGGUGCGCCUUGCCCCAGCUCCCACAACUGGCAAGCAGCCCAGCUGUGUGUCCCCCAGGUCUGUCUGGCCUCUGACCCUCAGUCCAUUUUGCUUUAGUCUUCUGGAUCCUCGAGCCCAUGGCAUGAAACAAUACUGGGUCCUUAGAUUGGAGGGUCUCCCACUCUUCAUAUUCCAGGCCGGAUGCUGGAUUGGCGGCGGAUGACCGAGUAGCGGAUGGCGAUGACACAGGCCUUCUGCAGCAGAGGGAUGAUCUCUCCCAGGAGCAGCUCCACCCGCACCACCACCAUGGAAAAGUAGUUGGUCUGCUGU